UCUAGGUGCCCUCCUCAAUUUUAGGUUUUGGUGUCCAAUAUUUAACCGUCAGUUUUAUAUGAUUUUUUUAUGAUUAGUAUUUUUAUAUUGUUAGAUGAUAAAACAUUAAUAAUACUUUAUACAUGACUUAUAUUUUUAAAUUUUUUCGUAACUUUUUUAAAUAAGACGAAUGGUCAAAUGUUAGGCACGAAAACUCAGG
rnacentral:pre_miRNA from 1 species